GACACUGCAGUAAGAAGAAGUUGGGAGCGACAAGCAAAGAAGACUGUAAAGAAGUUGUUCAUCAGCACAGAGUGUGAUAUCCUGAAAGCCAAAUGAAGAAAGAAGCAAGCAUCAAGAUCAAGAAGAAAGAAGUAAACCAGUUGUGUCAAAAGUUGGUUCAGGCCGGGCGCAGUGGCUCACGCUUGUCAUCCCAGUACUUUGGGAGGCUGAGGUGGGUGGAUCACCUGAGGUCAGGAGUUCGAGACCAGCCUGACCAACAUGGCAAAACCCUGUCUCUACUAACAAUACAGAAAUUAACUGGGCGUGGUGGUGCGUGCCUGUAGUCCCAGCUACUCGGGAGGCUGAGGUAGGAGGAUUGCUUGAACUUGGGAGGCAGAGGUUUCAGCAAGCUGAGAUUGCGCCACUGCACUCCAGCCUGGGUAACAGAGUGAGACUCCAUCUCAAAAAAAAAAAAAAAAAAAAAAAGUUGGUUCAUUUAGCUGAUGAGUCAGGUAAGAAGAGGACUGAAGACUGAGCCAUUACAUUUAAUAAUGUGGGUGUCUCUGUGUAAACUUGAAAACAACACCUCUAAUGGGCAGUAAAUGUGAAAACUUGAUGGAAGUGGAUUAAAGAGACUGCAAGGAAAGAAAAUGGAGGCAGCAAGUGUAUAAAACUUAUAAAAAAGAGAGUUUCUACAAAAGAAAACAAGCAAAUAAAGCACUAGCUGUCAGGAGAUAUAGGAUCUAGAAAAGGUUUAUUUACUCUUUUUUAAGUAAAUAAAAAUAAAAGUGAUAUUAACAUGUAUGUAUGCUGAUGGGAGUCGUCUAGGACAGAGGGAGAAACUGUAGGAGACAGAAGAGAAUUGUUGGAACAAUGUUGUUGAAUAGGUUAGAGAGAUGGGAUCUAGAACAUAGGAAGAAUUGGUGUUAGGAUUGUGGAGAGUCCAUCUGUGGGCACAAAUAAGAAAGUGCAGAUGGGUCAGAGGGGGUGGUGAUUCUCAUCUGACUACUUCCAUUUUCUCAACAUAGAAAGCAAAGUUAUUAAUUGAAAAUGAAUUUAGGAAAGGCAACAUUGAAGAUUUGAUGAGAGAGGAGACAUUUCACAAUAGGGAUUUAGGAACAUGGAAGAGUGAAUAGACUAGGGAAGUGUAAGAUAAUUACUGAGCUGUGUUAAGGGCCCUCUUGAGUCCCCAGUCAUAGAUUUAAAUUGAUAUUAGUCAGCAGUGGUUGGGUGUUUAUAUCUAGACAUGCUGCUCAAUGCCAAGCAUGGGUGGGUGGAGAGUUGAUUUGAACUAAGUUGUGGAUUAUCUAGUGAGUAAUAUGAAGUAAAGGAGUUGGCAGUGGAAUCAAGGACAUCAAGGGUCAAUGCAAAUUGACCGUGACACUUAAGCUGGUUUAGGAAGGAGAGAAAGCAUCAGGGGGGUGGAUCAAUGGAAGGAUCCAUGAAGUGGAGAUUUUUGGUCAUAGGUUACUAAGAGAGUGAGUGGAAAUUAGAAGGUGGUAGCCAGAGAUUAGAAGGCAUGAAAUGACUAGAGUUGCCAUUAUUGGUAAUGAUGAAGUCUAGGAUAAGCUCGUGGGAUUGAGUAACUGAGGUAGGAUGAGGAACAAGAUCAUUGGAAGAGAGAUUUUCCAAGGAACUGAGAGGCCAAUGUGUUGGAAGGGUCAUCUAGAUGGUAUACCAAAAGUAUCAAGAGUUAAGUUCCUUACCCUGUAGCCAUGUCUCUUACAAUUAUUUAUCUUACAAUAAAUGUGG
rnacentral:lncRNA from 1 species